GGGAACAGAACAAAGAGAUACUGGCAUACAGCAUCCUAAUAGCGACCCUGAAAUCACUGCUCAGGACAGCACCCAAAUAUCAUAGUCAUGGCUGUACUGGAAACACCCAGGGCUCGGAGAGAACUGUUCCUGGACAACAGCAAUUUGGUUGGGGUGAAUCACCUGCUUACCUACAAAGAAGAUUAAUAACACCAGAAUCAUGCAUCGACAAACAGAUGUUCAAGCAAAAUGUUCCAACCACUUGAGGCUCUCAUAUGCCUUGCAGACUUUUUUGCUCUUUAGCUAAUUAUUUUACUUGAUUUUUUUUAUUUUUAAAACUGGAAAACAGCUUCUUGCCCAAAUUUUUGAAGAAUAAAAAUAAAAAAUGCUAUGCUUGCA